rnacentral:rRNA from 1 species
CGUGAGAUGUUGGGUUAAGUCCCGCAACGAGCGCAACCCCUAUUGUUAGUUGCUACGCAAGAGCACUCUAGCGAGACUGCCGUUUGACAAAACGGAGGAAGGUGGGGACGACGUCAAAUCAUCAUGCCCCUUAUAUCCUGGGCUACACACGUAAUACAAUGGCGGUCAACAGAGGGAAGCAAAGCCGCGAGGCAGAGCAAACCCCCAAAAGCCGUCCCAGUUCGGAUUGUAGGCUGCAACUCGCCUGCA